CCUACGGGAGGCUGCAGUGAGGAAUAUUGGUCAAUGGGCGGAAGCCUGAACCAGCCAAGUAGCGUGCAGGAUGACGGCCCUAAGGGUUGUAAACUGCUUUUAUACGGGAAUAACGCGCCUUACGUGUAGGGCUUUGCAUGUACCGUAUGAAUAAGGACCGGCUAAUUCCGUGCCAGCAGCCGCGGUAAUACGGAAGGUCCGGGCGUUAUCCGGAUUUAUUGGGUUUAAAGGGGGCGUAGGCCGCAUGUCAAGCGUGCUGUGAAAGGUUCGGGCUCAACCCGGGCCUUGCAGUGCAAACUGGCGUGCUUGAGUCCGCGGAAGGCAGGCGGAAUUCGUCGUGUAGCGGUGAAAUGCUUAGAUAUGACGAAGAACCCCGAUUGCGAAGGCAGCUUGCUGCAGCGGAACUGACGCUGAUGCUCGAAAGCGCGGGUAUCGAACAGGAUUAGAUACCCCAGUAGUC
rnacentral:rRNA from 1 species